UACAGAGGUCCCAAGCGUUGUUCGGAUUCACUGGGCGUAAAGGGUGCGUAGGCGGUCGGGUAAGUCUGAUGUGAAAUCUCACAGCUUAACUGUGAAACUGCAUUGGAUACUAUUCGGCUUGAGAGUUGGAGGGGGGACUGGAAUUCUUGGUGUAGCAGUGAAAUGCGUAGAUAUCAGGAGGAACACCGGUGGCGAAGGCGGUUCUCUGGGCAUUACCUGACGCUGAGGAGCGAGAGUGUGGGGAGCGAACAGG
rnacentral:rRNA from 1 species